AGUGAACGCUGGCGGUAGGCCUAACACAUGCAAGUCGAACGGCAGCACAGUAAGAGCUUGCUCCUACGGGUGGCGAGUGGCGGACGGGUGAGGAAUACAUCGGAAUCUACUUUUUCGUGGGGGAUAACGUAGGGAAACUUACGCUAAUACCGCAUACGACCUACGGGUGAAAGCAGGGGAUCUUCGGACCUUGCGCGAUUGAAUGAGCCGAUGUCGGAUUAGCUAGUUGGCGGGGUAAAGGCCCACCAAGGCGACGAUCCGUAGCUGGUCUGAGAGGAUGAUCAGCCACACUGGAACUGAGACACGGUCCAGACUCCUACGGGAGGCAGCAGUGGGGAAUAUUGGACAAUGGGCGCAAGCCUGAUCCAGCCAUACCGCGUGGGUGAAGAAGGCCUUCGGGUUGUAAAGCCCUUUUGUUGGGAAAGAAAAGCAGCAGGUUAAUACCCCGCUGUUCUGACGGUACCCAAAGAAUAAGCACCGGCCAACUUCGUG
rnacentral:rRNA from 1 species